rnacentral:rRNA from 1 species
UACGUAGGGUGCGAGCGUUGUCCGGAAUUAUUGGGCGUAAAGCGCACGUAGGCGGUUUGUUAAGUCGGAUGUGAAAUCCCUCGGCUCAACUGAGGAAGUGCAUCCGAAACCGGCAAGCUUGAGUACGAAAGAGGGUCGCGGAAUUCCCGGUGUAGCGGUGAAAUGCGCAGAUAUCGGGAAGAACACCCGUGGCGAAGGCGGCUCUCUGGGACGGUACUGACGCUGAGACGCGAAAGCGUGGGGAGCGAACAGG